AGUACUAAAGGUGCACCUCUAUUUCCUGCAUGUUUACUCCAACUUCUGUGUUUCGGCUGCAAUUAAGGAACAGAUAGAGAAGAAGAAAGAAAGUAAGUAAAAGUAGAAGAAGAAGGAGAAGAGGAUAAACUAUACUGAACAGAAGAAGAAUUCACAUAUACAGAAAGAGGUACUGAUAAAGUCCGUAAGAAAAAGAAAACAGCUUCCAAGCUUUCAGAGUCACAGACUAACUGAAUGGCUGGAACUGAUAAGGUGAACCCGAAAACAUUUUCGAUAUUGACUUUAGUAGCAGCCGCAGCAAUAUGGUUGGUAUUCGCUGGUUUUGUCAUGAUGAGUGAUGUUGCGAGUGCUGAGAGGGUCUUAAAAGAUAAACAACCUGAAAAUGUUGUUGAUGAAGAGGUGAAAGAAGGAUUUUUUAUAAGAGUAAUUCAUUUUUUCUGGCAAGGUGGGAAGUCUGCUUACCAGCAUGUUUGGCCUGAAAUGGAGUUUGGUUGGAAAAUUGUAGUAGGAUCAAUAGUUGGAUUCUUUGGUGCAGCUUUGGGAAGUGUUGGAGGUGUUGGGGGUGGUGGAAUUUUUGUCCCAAUGCUGACCUUGAUUGUUGGCUUUGAUCCCAAGUCUUCCACUGCCAUCUCUAAGUGUAUGAUUAUGGGUGCUGCAGGAUCAACUGUAUACUACAAUCUGAGACUUAGACACCCGACACUCGACAUGCCCCUUAUAGACUACGAUUUGGCAUUGCUUUUCCAACCAAUGCUCAUGCUAGGAAUCAGCAUUGGAGUUGCGUUCAAUGUCAUGUUUGCUGAUUGGAUGGUCACAGUUUUGCUCAUCAUUCUCUUCUUAGGUACAUCAGCAAAAGCUUUAUUGAAAGGCAUUGAUACAUGGAAGAAAGAAACAAUUAUGAAGAGGGAAGCAGAAAAGCAGCUAGAAUCAGAGUCUAAGCCUGGUGAUGGUUCUGAAGGAGAGUACAAACCACUACCAAGUGGUCCAUCUGCUUCAAAUGAUGAGGUGGCCCCUAUGGUACGCAACAUAUACUGGAAAGAGAUGGCAAUGCUCAUGUAUGUCUGGAUGGCAUUUCUUGUUGUUCAGAUUGUUAAGACAUAUACUGAAACGUGCUCCGUCAAGUUCUGGAUCCUAAACUCCUUGCAGGUACCAAUUGCUGUCUCGGUUACACUCUUUGAAGCUAUAUGCUUGUACAAAGGCACCAGAGUCAUUGCAUCCAAAGGAAAGGAAAUCACAAACUGGAAGUUGCAUCAGAUUUUUAUGUACUGCUCCUGUGGUAUAAUAGCUGGUAUGGUUGGUGGAUUGCUUGGCCUUGGAGGUGGCUUCAUCUUGGGACCCCUUUUCCUUGAAUUGGGAAUUCCUCCUCAGGUUGCAAGUGCUACAUCAACCUUUUCAAUGGUUUUCUCAUCCUCCAUGUCAGUUGUACAAUAUCACCUUCUCAAUCGUUUCCCAGUCCCAUACGUUUUUCUUCCCCCCCACUUUUUUUGGCCGCAGCUUCUUAUUUUACUUUAGUUGCAACAAUUGCUGCUUUUACCGGUCAGCAUGUUGUGAGAAAGAUAAUUGCGGUUUUAGGGAGGGCAUCUAUAAUCAUCUUCAUUCUAGCCUUGACAAUCUUUGUGAGCGCAAUCAGUUUAGGUGGAGUGGGAAUAGCAAAUAUGGUUGAAAAGAUGGAGAACCAAGAGUACAUGGGUUUUGAAAACUUCUGUCACCAGUCUUGAGAAGGUUAUGUAAUAAGACAUAGAAGUGGAUUUUCUCAACAGAGAGCAAUUAUAAUCCACCAACUACAUUCACACCUUUUAUAUGGUAAUCUAUUUUUCCAUCAACUAAUUUCUUUCUUGCAAGUAUUAUGGACUUUUUAAGCAGUGUUCGAUGUGUAUAAUUCAUCUUCUGGAACUCCUCCAGCAGAGAUCCAUAAUUGCUUUGCUUAUGCCUUUUUUUUUUUUUUUUGGGGGGGGGGGGUUGGUUUAUAGCAUUUUUCUUUGUUGGGAAAAUAUGCCAAUCAUCAUGAGCCAUUUAUUUCUGUAACAAAACCCAUUUGGCAUGAUACAAUAAGAUGGUCGAAAUUGCUGAUCAGUUGCUUUUAUGA